rnacentral:lncRNA from 1 species
UGGAGUCAUGGAUCACAGUGCAAUUGUGGUGGUGUUCUAUCCGGAGGUCGAUGAGAUGGUAGUAGCCUGGACGGGCUGUUUCUAAGUAAGCAGCAAAGGAGACGACUCAAGUCUGGUACAGGUGGUUCAUGCAUGGAUGUUUUCAAGGUUGGCAUGCAUAUUCGCCAAGAUACAUGGAAUUUAUUAGAUAUGAGCCAAAUAUGUGUAUGGUUUGGUUACGAUUAGGUUUGAAUUGUAAUUUGGUAGGCUAGGGAGAGUUGGGGUCAUACUUGGUGUCCUAAGGUCCAUAAAUAUGAAGGAUUUAUGAAGGCAGGGCAACCGUAGGGGACCUGGCACAUGCGGAUGCUUGGUGUCUCAAGUUUGAACUCUGUACUCUGCUUUGUAACUGAAUCUUUGAUUUCUUAUCACACUAGAUGCCUUCCCU